rnacentral:rRNA from 1 species
GGUUAAGCGACUAAGCGUACACGGUGGAUGCCCUGGCAGUCAGAGGCGAUGAAGGACGUGCUAAUCUGCGAUAAGCGUCGGUAAGGUGAUAUGAACCGUUAUAACCGGCGAUUUCCGAAUGGGGAAACCCAGUGUGUUUCGACACACUAUCAUUAACUGAAUCCAUAGGUUAAUGAGGCGAACCGGGGGAACUGAAACAUCUAAGUACCCCGAGGAAAAGAAAUCAACCGAGAUUCCCCCAGUAGCGGCGAGCGAACGGGGAGCAGCCCAGAGCCUGAAUCAGUGUGUGUGUUAGUGGAAGCGUCUGGAAAGGCGCGCGAUACAGGGUGACAGCCCCGUACACAAAAAUGCACAUGCUGUGAGCUCGAUGAGUAGGGCGGGACACGUGGUAUCCUGUCUGAAUAUGGGGGGGACCAUCCUCCAAGGCUAAAUACUCCUGACUGACCGAUAGUGAACCAGUACCGUGAGGGAAAGGCGAAAAGAACCCCGGCGAGGGGAGUGAAAAAGAACCUGAAACCGUGUACGUACAAGCAGUGGGAGCACGCUUAGGCGUGUGACUGCGUACCUUUUGUAUAAUGGGUCAGCGACUUAUAUUCUGUAGCAAGGUUAACCGAAUAGGGGAGCCGAAGGGAAACCGAGUCUUAACUGGGCGUUAAGUUGCAGGGUAUAGACCCGAAACCCGGUGAUCUAGCCAUGGGCAGGUUGAAGGUUGGGUAACACUAACUGGAGGACCGAACCGACUAAUGUUGAAAAAUUAGCGGAUGACUUGUGGCUGGGGGUGAAAGGCCAAUCAAACCGGGAGAUAGCUGGUUCUCCCCGAAAGCUAUUUAGGUAGCGCCUCGUGAAUUCAUCUCCGGGGGUAGAGCACUGUUUCGGCAAGGGGGUCAUCCCGACUUACCAACCCGAUGCAAACUGCGAAUACCGGAGAAUGUUAUCACGGGAGACACACGGCGGGUGCUAACGUCCGUCGUGAAGAGGGAAACAACCCAGACCGCCAGCUAAGGUCCCAAAGUCAUGGUUAAGUGGGAAACGAUGUGGGAAGGCCCAGACAGCCAGGAUGUUGGCUUAGAAGCAGCCAUCAUUUAAAGAAAGCGUAAUAGCUCACUGGUCGAGUCGGCCUGCGCGGAAGAUGUAACGGGGCUAAACCAUGCACCGAAGCUGCGGCAGCGACGCUGAUGCGUUGUUGGGUAGGGGAGCGUUCUGUAAGCCUGUGAAGGUGUGCUGUGAGGCAUGCUGGAGGUAUCAGAAGUGCGAAUGCUGACAUAAGUAACGAUAAAGCGGGUGAAAAGCCCGCUCGCCGGAAGACCAAGGGUUCCUGUCCAACGUUAAUCGGGGCAGGGUGAGUCGACCCCUAAGGCGAGGCCGAAAGGCGUAGUCGAUGGGAAACAGGUUAAUAUUCCUGUACUUGGUGUUACUGCGAAGGGGGGACGGAGAAGGCUAUGUUGGCCGGGCGACGGUUGUCCCGGUUUAAGCGUGUAGGCUGGUUUUCCAGGCAAAUCCGGAAAAUCAAGGCUGAGGCGUGAUGACGAGGCACUACGGUGCUGAAGCAACAAAUGCCCUGCUUCCAGGAAAAGCCUCUAAGCAUCAGGUAACAUCAAAUCGUACCCCAAACCGACACAGGUGGUCAGGUAGAGAAUACCAAGGCGCUUGAGAGAACUCGGGUGAAGGAACUAGGCAAAAUGGUGCCGUAACUUCGGGAGAAGGCACGCUGAUAUGUAGGUGAGGUCCCUCGCGGAUGGAGCUGAAAUCAGUCGAAGAUACCAGCUGGCUGCAACUGUUUAUUAAAAACACAGCACUGUGCAAACACGAAAGUGGACGUAUACGGUGUGACGCCUGCCCGGUGCCGGAAGGUUAAUUGAUGGGGUUAGCGCAAGCGAAGCUCUUGAUCGAAGCCCCGGUAAACGGCGGCCGUAACUAUAACGGUCCUAAGGUAGCGAAAUUCCUUGUCGGGUAAGUUCCGACCUGCACGAAUGGCGUAAUGAUGGCCAGGCUGUCUCCACCCGAGACUCAGUGAAAUUGAACUCGCUGUGAAGAUGCAGUGUACCCGCGGCAAGACGGAAAGACCCCGUGAACCUUUACUAUAGCUUGACACUGAACAUUGAGCCUUGAUGUGUAGGAUAGGUGGGAGGCUUAGAAGUGUGGACGCCAGUCUGCAUGGAGCCGACCUUGAAAUACCACCCUUUAAUGUUUGAUGUUCUAACGUUGACCCGUAAUCCGGGUUGCGGACAGUGUCUGGUGGGUAGUUUGACUGGGGCGGUCUCCUCCUAAAGAGUAACGGAGGAGCACGAAGGUUGGCUAAUCCUGGUCGGACAUCAGGAGGUUAGUGCAAUGGCAUAAGCCAGCUUGACUGCGAGCGUGACGGCGCGAGCAGGUGCGAAAGCAGGUCAUAGUGAUCCGGUGGUUCUGAAUGGAAGGGCCAUCGCUCAACGGAUAAAAGGUACUCCGGGGAUAACAGGCUGAUACCGCCCAAGAGUUCAUAUCGACGGCGGUGUUUGGCACCUCGAUGUCGGCUCAUCACAUCCUGGGGCUGAAGUAGGUCCCAAGGGUAUGGCUGUUCGCCAUUUAAAGUGGUACGCGAGCUGGGUUUAGAACGUCGUGAGACAGUUCGGUCCCUAUCUGCCGUGGGCGCUGGAGAACUGAGGGGGGCUGCUCCUAGUACGAGAGGACCGGAGUGGACGCAUCACUGGUGUUCGGGUUGUCAUGCCAAUGGCACUGCCCGGUAGCUAAAUGCGGAAGAGAUAAGUGCUGAAAGCAUCUAAGCACGAAACUUGCCCCGAGAUGAGUUCUCCCUGACCCUUUAAGGGUCCUGAAGGAACGUUGAAGACGACGACGUUGAUAGGCCGGGUGUGUAAGCGCAGCGAUGCGUUGAGCUAACCGGUACUAAUGAACCGUGAGGCUUAACCUU